GAUGAAGAACGCAGCGAAAUGCGAUAAGUAGUGUGAAUUGCAGAAUUCAGUGAAUCAUCGAAUCUUUGAACGCACAUUGCGCCCCUUGGUAUUCCAUGGGGCAUGCCUGUUCGAGCGUCAUUUGUACCUUCAAGCUCUGCUUGUGUUGGGUGUUUGUCUCGCCUCUGCGUGUAGACUCGCCUUAAAACAAUUGGCAGCCGGCGUAUUGAUUUCGGAGCGCAGUACAUCUCGCGCUUUGCACUCAUAACGACGACGUCCAAAAGUACAUUUUUACACUCUUGACCUCGGAUCAGGUAGGGAUACCCGCUGAACUUAAGCAUAUCAAUAAGCGGAGGA
rnacentral:misc_RNA from 1 species